UGGUUCUGGCAUCGAUGAAGAACGCAGCGAAAUGCGAUAAGUAAUGUGAAUUGCAGAAUUCAGUGAAUCAUCGAAUCUUUGAACGCACAUUGCGCCCAUUAGUAUUCUAGUGGGCAUGCCUGUUCGAGCGUCAUUAAGUCCACUUAAGCCCUGCUUAGUAUUGGGAAUCUACCGAAGCUACCCUGUAGCUACCCUGUAGUUCCUUAAAGACAUCGGCGGAGUUGUGAUAUCUCUGAGCUUAGUAAAUAUUCAAAGCUUCUGGGCCAUUGCACCCCUUGCCGCUAAACCUUCUGCUUGCAGAAAUUUUAAUGGUUGACCUCGGAUCAGGUAGGAAUACCCGCUGA
rnacentral:misc_RNA from 1 species